GAUGAAGAACGUAGCGAAAUGCGGUAAGUAGUGUGAAUUGCAGAAUUCAGUGAAUCAUCGAAUCUUUGAACGCACAUUGCGCCCCUUGGUAUCCCGAGGGGCAUGCCUGUUCGAGCGUCAUUUCACCACUCAAGCCUGGCUUGGUGUUGGGCGACGUCCCCUUUGGGGACGCGCCUCGAAACGCUCGGCGGCGUGGCACCGGCUUUAAGCGUAGCAGAAUCUUUCGCUUUGGAAGUCGGGGCCCCGUCUGCCGGAAGACCUACUCGCAAGGUUGACCUCGGAUCAGGCAGGGAUACCCGCUGAACUUAAGCAUAUCAAUAAGCGGAGGA
rnacentral:misc_RNA from 1 species